rnacentral:rRNA from 1 species
UACGUAGGGGGCAAGCGUUAUCCGGAUUUACUGGGUGUAAAGGGGGCGCAGACGGCAAUGCAAGCCAGGAGUGAAAGCCCGGGGCCCAACCCCGGGACUGCUCUUGGAACUGCAUGGCUGGAGUACAGGAGGGGCAGGCGGAAUUCCUAGUGUAGCGGCGAAAUGCGUAGAUAUUAGGAGGAACACCGGUGGCGAAGGCGGCCUGCUGGACUGAGACUGACGUUGAGGCCCGAAGGCGUGGGGAGCAAACAGG